CCGCUAAAGGCCAUGAUCUUUAGCGGCGUUUGCGUUAAAAGCGUCACUAAAGACCAUCAUCUUUAGCGGCGUUUGUAGUAGAAGCGCUGCUAAAGGUCAUGAUAUCUAGCGACGUUUGUGGCAAAAGUGCCGCUAAAGACCAUGAUCUUUAGCGGC
rnacentral:pre_miRNA from 1 species